rnacentral:rRNA from 1 species
AAAUUGAAGAGUUUGAUCAUGGCUCAGAUUGAACGCUGGCGGCAGGCCUAACACAUGCAAGUCGAACGGUAACAGGAAACAGCUUGCUGUUUCGCUGACGAGUGGCGGACGGGGGAGUAAUGUCUGGGAAACUGCCUGAUGGAGGGGGAUAACUACUGGAAACGGUAGCUAAUACCGCAUAACGUCGCAAGACCAAAGAGGGGGACCUUCGGGCCUCUUG